UGCGCAUGCGCAGAUCGCGCGUACGGGACGGGAAGCGGCGGCGAUGGAGGCGAGGGGCUCGGCGGGCGGCGGGAGGCCCGUGAAGGGCAUCCUCAAGAACCGCUCCGACAGCGGCUCAGGGAGCGCGGGGCGGGGCCUGGCCGACACCGAGGCUCUCUCGCAGGCCUCGCCGCUGCCGCCCGCCGCGCCGCUCCUGCAAGCGCAGCAGCCGAGCACCGAGAGCCCCGGCGAGGAACAAGGGAAGAAGACGCAGAAGUGGGACGAGAUGAACAUCCUGGCCACCUACCACCCGCCCGGCAAGGACUACGGCCUCAUGAAGAUCGACGAGCCCAGCACCCCCUACCACAGCCUGAAGGAGGAGGACGCCGGCAGCGACGCCGAGGACAGCUCGGGGCCCACGGCGGACGUCCUGGCCGAAAAGUUGGCAGCUGCUGCGCAAGGGCAGGGCCCCAAAAUCCUGGCAAGGCAGGAUUACAGCAGUGACGAAGAGGAGGAGGAUGACGAGGUAGACCUGACUCCGGAAGAAUUGGAGAAAAAAAGGCAGUUUGAAAUGAAGAGGAAAAUGCAUUACAACGAAGCACAGAACAUCAAGCUGGCCAGGCAGCUGAUCGCAAAGGAAAUGCACGGUGAGGCUGCCACUGAGGAGGAAGAUUGUGAGGAGGAUGAGGAAGAAGACGAGGACAAUGAGGAUGACAUGCAGGAUGAGUGUAAAACAGACACAGAAUCAGCCGCUGCUGCCCUGGAGCCUCACGCCUGAUUCUGUGCAGUGUGGAAAAGUUUCUCUGUUUGUGCCACAUCAAGUGUUAGAAGCCUUGGUUGGAUGUCUGCUUGCCGGCACGUCCCAUCUCUUCCCAGCGGCCUCUGUCCCUUCCGGGGGAACCUCCUCCUUGAGCUGGAGAGGGAACAGUGGAGUACCUGCUCCUGGCGACCCGCUUGAGAACAUUGAACACAGCCUUGAAGAAGUCUGCUCAGGACUGUAACAGCUCCCACCCUUUUGUAUUCCUUGCCGCAUCACCCUCCUGCAGGUCUGUUUCAACAAGUUGGCACGCACUUUGAUAUUUGACGAAAAUGGUGGUGGUCUCAAGGUUCUCCGUUUGGCAAUGGAAAUGUUGCUGAUGUGGCUGGUUCUGGUGGCCACAGAAGAUGGUUUCGUUGCUCAUCUGCUGAAGAAAACAGCGUGGGGCAGAACCAGUGAGCCAGGCCCAUUGGUGCCACUCCUUUCUCUGGUUUUAACCUGCAAAACAUCUGGACGCUUUGGUUUCUCUUUUAUCAUGCUGUAGUAUUUGAGUUACACACAAAUGGCUUGAUGUUAAUGCGCUUUACUACAGCUAAGAAAAGCCCCUUGGCCAAAGGGAUGAAUGGAAGGGUGUUUUUACAGCCUUUUCCCCUUCCCCCCCUGCAGACUUCAGCGGGUUCCGAGAGGCGGGCACUUCUUGCCCCGCCUGCCUGCCUGCCGAAAGGGAAAGAGCAGCUAGAUGGCUUUCCCAGCUGCAGUGUUCUAAAGUGGGAGACGAUCAGCCUGUGGCUACCCUUUUCCCCAUUGGAGUUGGGCAGGAGCCCAAUGCUCCCGCAUUGCCUGGGGGCUCCUCUCUGAGGGCCCUCUGCCUCUCAGGGUGCCUUCCCACACGGCCUCUAGAAAAUAAAAGCAGGUUCAACACCCACCCCCUACCCACAAUCCCCGUGUUGCCUGCUGGCUCUCCUCCUCUCUCUGGGUGAGCCUGUGAAACAGCCCAUUUUCUGGGGAUGGGAUUCUCCAGCCGUCCCAGUUGAUGAUAGCAUCUGGCAGGCAGAGAGAUUCCCCCUCCCACCCAGGAGACUGGUGUGGCGGCACAGAGAGAGCGCCCAGCCACCUGCUUUUGUUUCUCAACUAGAAGAGGCUGCAUCCCCACAGCCCUUUGUUGCCCCCCCCCCCCUGGUCUCCUUUUGGUAACCUCUCCGCCCUCCUCCUCCCUAUGCCUGAAUGAACCUGAAUCAAACAGCUGUUUUGUAGUUUGGCCUUUGUGAUUUUCUUAAGCCUUGGAAGAGGGAGGGGCAUCUGUUGGCCACCUAAUGUUUGUAAAAAGAUUUGGAAUGUUCCGACAACCUGAAGUUGCCUAGAAAAUACCCAGGUUGUGCUACUGACUUUGCUCCUUCUGGAUUCCGCUUCACUGGCUUGUUUCCUCCAUGUAACUGUUUUAUUGAAGUAAAGAAACCACCAAGUGUAUUUUGCAACAAGCA